rnacentral:rRNA from 1 species
UGGGGAAUUUUGCACAAUGGGGGAAACCCUGAUGCAGCGACGCCGCGUGAUUUAGAAGGCCUUCGGGUUGUAAAAAUCUUUUGUAUAGGAAGAAAAUGACAGUACUAUACGAAUAAGGACCGGCUAAUUACGUGCCAGCAGCCGCGGUAAUACGUAAGGUCCGAGCGUUGUCCGGAAUCAUUGGGCGUAAAGGGUACGUAGGCGGGUAAGCAAGUUAGAAGUGAAAUCCUAUAGCUCAACUAUAGUAAGCUUUUAAAACUGCUCAUCUUGAGGUAUGGAAGGGAAAGUGGAAUUCCUAGUGUAGCGGUGAAAUGCGCAGAUAUUAGGAGGAAUACCGGUGGCGAAGGCGACUUUCUGGACACAAACUGACGCUGAGGUACGAAAGCGUGGGGAGCAAACAGG